rnacentral:tRNA from 1 species
GGAGAGGUGGCAGAGUGGUCGAAUGCGGCAGACUUGAAAUCUGUUGUGGCGGCAACGUCACCGUGGGUUCGAAUCCCACCCUCUCCG